rnacentral:rRNA from 1 species
GACAGAGGGUGCAAACGUUGUUCGGAAUUACUGGGCGUAAAGCGUGUGUAGGCGGCUACGUAAGUCGGAUGUGAAAGCCCCCAGGCUCAACCUGGGAAGUGCACUCGAUACUGCGUAGCUUGAGUAUCGGAGAGGUUGGUGGAAUUCUCGGUGUAGAGGUGAAAUUCGUAGAUAUCGAGAGGAACACCGGUGGCGAAGGCGGCCAACUGGACGAAUACUGACGCUGAGACACGAAAGCGUGGGGGAGCAAACAGG